CCCAUCUCCCUCACGUGGGAUUUGACUAAAAAUGAAAAGAACUUUCCCCUUUCUAUCGUUUUCCCACUGUCUUUCCAUGGUAGCAGCCUUGCUUCACCAUGUUGAUGAAAAUAACAGCCCUCACCACAUCGACAAAGCUGUCCCGUCCCUGCCAUUUUUUUGUUUGCUUCAACCCGUGACUCUUCUUUCUAGGAAAUUUUGAAUUUCAAAGUCUCAAGAACCCUAGAACUUUUCUCCUAUAAAUACACCUUAAGCAUUCAGCCAAAAAGGGACCUGGAACAUCAUUGAAAUCUUACCAUACACAACAUUUCAUCUUUUACUACUACUCUAAACUUUGGGAUCUUUCAAACUUUUCAUUCACUCGGAUCCGUUCAUGAUGAGAGAGUAGAUUCGAGGCCGUCGUCCCUAUUCACUGCACCAACAAAAGAGUUUCACUUUGAGACUCAACGACACCGCCAUUGCAAGGAGUCCGCACAUCCUCACUCUUCCUCGCCUUUGCACUGCUUGAACAACGAAUUACAUAAGAGAUUUUGUCCUUCUGUUGAAGCCGGACAUCAUUCAUUUCUGCUUGCUUUCACUUUACUUGCGUUGGAAUGACUUUUAUUUUUAAUUAUGUAUUUUCUGUUGGAAGAGGUAGAAUUGUUAUAUAAUGACUAACAACUGGAUUUAUUUGGUCA